rnacentral:rRNA from 1 species
AUAUUGGACAAUGGGCGCAAGCCUGAUCCAGCCAUGCCGCGUGUGUGAAGAAGGCCUUCGGGUUGUAAAGCACUUUUGUUGGGGAAGAAAAGCCAUGGGUUAAUACCCUGUGGUUCUGACGGUACCCAAAGAAUAAGCACCGGCUAACUUCGUGCCAGCAGCCGCGGUAAUACGAAGGGUGCAAGCGUUACUCGGAAUUACUGGGCGUAAAGCGCACGUAGGCGGCUGGGUAAGUCUGUCUGUGAAAGCCCGGGGCUCAACCCCGUGGAUUGCAGGGGAUACUGCUCAGCUGGAGACAAGCAGAGGUUGGUAGAAUUCCGGGUGUAGCGGUGGAAUGCGUAGAGAUCCGGAGGAAUACCAGAGGCGAAGGCGGCCAACUGGGCUUGUUCUGACGCUGAGGUGCGAAAGCGUGGGGAGCGAA